rnacentral:rRNA from 1 species
ACGAAGGGUGCAAGCGUUACUCGGAAUUACUGGGCGUAAAGCGUGCGUAGGUGGUUCGUUAAGUCUGAUGUGAAAGCCCCGGGCUUAACUUGGGAAUUGCGCUCGAAACUACUUGGCUGGAGUGUGGCAGAGGAAGGUGGAAUUCCACGUGUAGCGGUGAAAUGCGUAGAGAUGUGGAGGAACACCAAUGGCGAAGGCAGCCUUCUGGGCCAACACUGACGCUCAUGCACGAAAGCGUGGGGAGCAAACAGGA